rnacentral:lncRNA from 1 species
AUUAUCAUAAUCAUGGAAUAAUAUAAGCUGUAAAACAUAGCACUUAUCACACCUUUUGUAAUUCAAUCAUUAUACAAUAUAUUCUUUUCUCAUUUAUCAGCCUACUAGUAUCCAUGGGGGUCCAUAGGGGUCCCGCUACCCGUUAACCUUUAACAUUCAUAAUCAGUUUCCAGGGCCGUCCCCAUACCCCGUCCGGUAUGGGCGCCAAAACUAUGAACCUCAAUACCCCGUCCGGUAUGAGGGUGAAACGGGCUGUCCCCAUACCCCGUCCGGUAUGGGCGCCAAAAUCAUAAACCUCAAUACCCCGUCCGGUAUGAGGGUGAAAUGGGUCGUCCCCAUACCCCGUCCGGUAUGGGCGCCAAAACCAUAAGAUCUCCAUACCCCGUCCGGCAUGUGAGACCACAAUCCCGGUAGGGUUCCCUACGGACCCGGUCCGUCCACCAUCUCCCAGGAUAUCUAGUCAGGCUGACCCCCAUAAUACGAUUAUCAGUCUACACAAUCUUUCAUUUUCCUCUUCCUCAGUAAGUAUUAUCAAUUCACAUUUUAAACAAGC